GAUGAACGCUGGCGGCGUGCCUAAUACAUGCAAGUCGAGCGAACGGACGAGAAGCUUGCUUCUCUGAUGUUAGCGGCGGACGGGUGAGUAACACGUGGAUAACCUACCUAUAAGACUGGGAUAACUUCGGGAAACCGGAGCUAAUACCGGAUGAUAUUUUGAACCGCAUGGUUCAAAAGUGAAAGACGGUCUUGCUGUCACUUAUAGAUGGAUCCGCGCUGCAUUAGCUAGUUGGUAAGGUAACGGCUUACCAAGGCAACGAUGCAUAGCCGACCUGAGAGGGUGAUCGGCCACACUGGAAUUGAGACACGGUCCAGACUCCUACGGGAGGCAGCAGUAGGGAAUCUUCCGCAAUGGGCGAAAGCCUGACGGAGCAACGCCGCGUGAGUGAUGAAGGUCUUCGGAUCGUAAAACUCUGUUAUUAGGGAAGAACAUAUGUGUAAGUAACUGUGCACAUCUUGACGGUACCUAAUCAGAAAGCCACGGCUAACUACGUG
rnacentral:rRNA from 1 species